GUACGAGGCCCAGUGUUGGUAACCUAGUUUCAUAAAACCGCAGUUGCAAAGACCAAAUACAUUGGAAAAACCGCGGCUAUGCCUCGCUGGGCUUCUCGUGCAGCCAGGGCCGGAAUAUGGGCAGGGUGGACGGAUAGUGAGUGUGCGUGU